rnacentral:rRNA from 1 species
UUAACACAUGCAAGUCGAGCGGGCGUAGCAAUACGUCAGCAGCAGACGGGUGAGUAACGCGUGGGAACGUACCUUUUGGUUCGGAACAACACAGGGAAACUUGUGCUAAUACCGGAUAAGCCCUUACGGGGAAAGAUUUAUCGCCGAGAGAUCGGCCCGCGCCUGAUUAGCUAGUUGGUGAGGUAAUGGCUCACCAAGGCGACGAUCAGUAGCUGGUCUGAGAGGAUGAUCAGCCACAUUGGGACUGAGACACGGCCCAAACUCCUACGGGAGGCAGCAGUGGGGAAUAUUGGACAAUGGGCGCAAGCCUGAUCCAGCCAUGCCGCGUGAGUGAUGAAGGCCCUAGGGUUGUAAAGCUCUUUUGUGCGGGAAGAUAAUGACGGUACCGCAAGAAUAAGCCCCGGCUAACUUCGUGCCAGCAGCCGCGGUAU